rnacentral:rRNA from 1 species
UGGCUCAGGACGAACGCUGGCGGCGCGCCUAACACAUGCAAGUCGAACGGGGCCAAAUUGCUCACUGCGUCCGCAUCCAGUCGGAUGCGGAUGGAGUGAGCGGUUGACCUAGUGGCGGACGGGUGAGUAACGCGUGAGCAACCUGCCCUUCAGAGGGGGAUAACGUCUGGAAACGGACGCUAAUACCGCAUAAUGUAAUUGGGAGACAUCUCCGAUUACCAAGGAGAAAUCCGCUGAAGGAUGGGCUCGCGUCCGAUUAGGCAGUUGGCGGGGUAACGGCCCACCCAAACCUUCGAUCGGUAGCCGGACUGAGAGGUUGGCCGGCCCACAUUGGACUGAGACACGGCCCAGACUCCUACGGGAGGCAGCAGGUGGGGGAUAUUGCACAAUGGGGGAAACCCUGAUUGCAGCGACGCCGCGUGAGGGAAGAAGGUCUUCGGAUUGUAAACCUUUGUCUUCAGGGACGAAACAAAUGACGGUACCUGAGGAGGAAGCCACGGCUAACUACGUGCCAGCAGCUGC